CGACCUUCCAUCGGAGCUUUCCAAUUACCUUGACGGUCAAAACCAGUUUUCCGAUUCUCUGGUCGCGCCCGACAUCAUAACCAAAGGACGGAGCUACAGGUUGCUGAUAUCCUACCAGAGACGCACUCAGGUAAUUUGUUUCUUCGUGCUCUUGGUAAAAAGGAGGGAUUGAAGUAUCGUGAGUAAUUGUUUGACCCUUGUAAGAUGCACAUACCUGUAACUCAUCGUAAUAAAUCCCGACUUUCCUGUUUGGAUUGUUGGAUAGGAGAGUGAGCUCAACUGAGGAGUUGAGAAGGGAGGGACCGGAGAGGUUGAGUUGAUUGAUUUCAACCUCUCUGAGAGAAAACUGGGGCUUUGUGGGGUGUAGGAUGAGCCAAACUAGCAAGAUGAAUGAUAAAACUGUAAGCAGAAAGGUAAAGAAAGCAAAGAAGAGCUUCUUGUUGAAUUUCUUGAAGUUGACUCCUUGGUUGGCACAGUGUCUGGGAGAAUUUUCAAGAAUUUGAGACAUUUGCAUAGCAGAGAGAGAGAGAGGAGAGUUUACUUAGUAAACAGAGAAGUUGAAAUGAUAUGGUUAAUAAAGGAUUCUCGAACCCAUAAAUCAGCAAUUAUUUUGCUCAGUAAGAAGGAAAAAAAAAAAAACCCCCCUUUUUGAUUCAUGAAUAUGCAUGCUUACUGUCAUGGAAUAGAAUUUACAGGUAUAUCUUGAUGAUUUAAUUUUUCGCAGCAAAGGAUAUCUAUCAUGGAGGAAUCUGAUGGGAAAAAACUUUAGAAUUAUUGCAAGAAAAGGAGUACACUUUUUCAAGUUGGAAGGUAUAGGAUAGGCAUUUGCCUUUCCCAUUCAUUGGAGUGAAGUAUGAUGAUUAACUGCAAAUUUUGACAUGAAGUCUAUGUAGAAAUGUUAAAUUAUUUGUAAUCAGUCUUGGUAUAUUUGAAUUUCUUAUGCUUUGCAGAAAAGGAGCUCAAAAGGAAGAGCAGAGAAUCUGAGAAAUUGACUUUAUGGAGGGCUCUGGGGCUGAGGAGUGUCCCCCAUAUAGUUGUUAACUUUCAAGUUAAGAAAAGAUUUAUUGCUUGUUGGUAAAGUCGAUUAUACAAACACUAAAACAAACCCUAUGUUGUAUGAAUGCAGAGUGGGGGAUCUUGAAAAGAAUAUUACAGUCUGGGAAGCAAAAUCCCUUUGAAAUUCAGUUAUUGAACAUCAUUAAAGAGAGAGAUGAUCUACCCCGUUAUUUUGAUUGAUUUAUCAUCCAACCCUUCCUUUUUUGACUUUUGUCCUUUUUAUUGUGAUUUGGGACAAAGGGACCAUGUCUCAGAUUUGCCACAAGGUUAAUGUAUGUUUGAAUUUUCAAAUAGUCACAAGAUCACAUCAAUUUUGA
rnacentral:lncRNA from 1 species